rnacentral:rRNA from 1 species
GAGUUUGAUCAUGGCUCAGAUUGAACGCUGGCGGCAGGCCUAACACAUGCAAGUCGAGCGGAUGACGGGAGCUUGCUCCUUGAUUCAGCGGCGGACGGGUGAGUAAUGCCUAGGAAUCUGCCUGGUAGUGGGGGACAACGUUUCGAAAGGAACGCUAAUACCGCAUACGUCCUACGGGAGAAAGCAGGGGACCUUCGGGCCUUGCGCUAUCAGAUGAGCCUAGGUCGGAUUAGCUAGUUGGUGGGGUAAUGGCUCACCAAGGCGACGAUCCGUAACUGGUCUGAGAGGAUGAUCAGUCACACUGGAACUGAGACACGGUCCAGACUCCUACGGGAGGCAGCAGUGGGAAUAUUGGACAAUGGGCGAAAGGCCUGAUCCAGCCAUGCCGCGUGUGUGAAGAAGGUCUUCGGAUUGUAAAGCACUUUAAGUUGGGAGGAAGGGCAGUAAGUUAAUACCUUGCUGUUUUGACGUUACCGACAGAAUAAGCACCGGCUAACUCUGUGCCAGCA